AGCGAACGCUGGCGGCAGGCCUAACACAUGCAAGUCGAACAGGCCCUUCGGGGUUAGUGGCGCACGGGUGAGUAACACGUGGGAAUCGUGCCUUUAGGUUCGGAAUAGCUCUUAGAAACGGGUGGUAAUGCCGAAUGAUCCUUAGGAGCAAAGAUUUAUCGCCCUAAGAUCAGCCCGCGUAUGAUUAGCUAGUUGGUGAGGUAAUGGCUCACCAAGGCUACGAUCAUUAGCUGGUCUGAGAGGAUGAUCAGCCACACUGGGACUGAGACACGGCCCAAACUCCUACGGGAGGCAGCAGUGGGGAAUCUUGCGCAAUGGGCGAAAGCCUGAUGCAGCCAUGCCGCGUGAAUGAUGAAGGUCUUAGGAUUGUAAAAUCCUUUCACCCGUGAAGAUAAUGACAGUACCCGGAGAAGAAGCCCCGGCUAACUUCGUGCCAGCAGCCGCGGUAAUACGAAGGGGGCUAGCGUUGCUCGGAAUUACUGGGCGUAAAGGGAGCGUAGGCGGACAUUUAAGUCAGAGGUGAAAUCCCAGAGCUCAACUCUGGAACUGCCUUUGAUACUGGAUGUCUUGAGUCUAGUAGAGGUCAGUGGAAUCCGAGUGUAGAGGUGAAAUUCGUAGAUAUUCGGAAGAACACCAGUGGCGAAGGCGACAUACUGGAUCAUUACUGA
rnacentral:rRNA from 1 species